rnacentral:tRNA from 1 species
AACUUCAUGGUGCAAUAGUAGCAUGUCUGACUUCAGAUCAGAAGGAUGUGUGUUCAAAUCACACUGGGGUCA